rnacentral:rRNA from 1 species
GAUGAACGCUGGCGGCGUGCCUAAUACAUGCAAGUCGAACGAGGUGCUUUUGUAGCAAUACGAAAGUAUCCUAGUGGCGAACGGGUGAGUAACGCGUUGGUGACCUACCCCAAAGUGUGGGAUAACAGUUCGAAAGAACUGCUAAUACCGCAUGUGGUUAUCGGGUUUAGAAACUGAUAACUAAAGGAGCAAUUCGCUUUGGGAGGGACCUGCGUCCCAUCAGCUAGUUGGUGAGGUAAUGGCUCACCAAGGCUACGACGGGUAGGGGACCUGAGAGGGUGGCCCCCCACCAAUGGAACGUAGAAACAACGGUCCGACUACACCUACGGGUGGGCAGCAGUAGGGAAGUAUUGCACAAUGGGCGAAAGACCUGAUGCAGCAACGACCGCGUGUGCGAUGAAGGCC